rnacentral:tRNA from 1 species
GGGGUUGUGGCUCAGUGGUAGAGUACUUAUCUAGCAUGCAUGAGGCACUGGGUUUGAGCCUCAGCACCACA